CAGUUUGGCUGUCUUUUAGCCACUGAGUUUCUUUACCCAUUUUUAUGUUUUUCUUUUUUUGAAGGGAAAUGAUAUUUUUGCCGGUGGAUCAGAAUCAUACGUGGCUGGCAAAAAGAAUGGGCUUGGGUGUAAUCCAUUCAUCUUCCCCGGUCUCUCUCCUCUCUGUCUAACCUCCCUCGAGUUCCACCUCCAUCUUUUGGGUAUUCUUUUCCCCCCUCCUCUCUCUCUUUGUAUCUCUCCAUCUUCAUCGGCGUACUGUAGGUGCAAGCAACGGUGGCCGGAAUGCCAGAUUUCAGCUCAGGGAUGUCAAAGAUCAAUUGACGAUGGUGUGGCCCAGGCGGAGCCGGCGGAUCACCAGUUUGGGAAGCCGGGUCCGACAGAGGGCAGUGGCAGCGGCAUAGAGCAGCGGUGAUGAUCAACGACGGGUUAACGGCACCGGAAAUACGUUGCUGGAGAAGGAGCGCGUGGGCGAGUUAGAUCUACUCUCAGGCGCGUGGGCGCAAGUCAGACGACGGCGGUGAUGAACUGUGAGGAUGUCGCGGUUCCGGCGGUGAUGUGGUCGGUCAGGAACGGCGGUGAGCUGAACAGUGAGCAAGGAUCGUCCAGCAACGAACGAGGAUCAGAUCACGGUGGCUGUGAUGCCAGACCCGGCGAGGGCUGUGAGAAGUUAGAACCGCCGAGUCGGAGUCGUAGAGCUUGACCCGGUGAUAAACCGAUUGUGACAAACCGACGGCAAUGAUGGAUUGCAGUGAAGCUGUCCACGUGUGGGACUCUUUUCACCGGUGUGGUCUCUGUUUCUUGGGUUUGUUGUUGAUGGGUGUGUUGAGAAGUGGCCGGAGGAGGACUCGCGAGAGUGGAGGCCCACGGAGGAGUGAGAGUGAGGAGUUACGUAACGGGCUCUGCACGUAGUACAGCGGCCGUCGCGGUGGUGAGUAAGGAUGUCGGCAGCGGUACUGAACGGCGACCAAGGCUUCAUAGUUUCGGUGAGAUGACGGGACACGACAAUGAUGGAGUCCGGCAGUGGUGAGGUCUGGUUUCGCCGAAAGUUGCAGAGGUUUGCCGGCGUUCUUGGCUGUCCUCUUAUUCAUCGAAAACUUGUUACCAUCAGAUUCUCGACUCUAAGCAGUCCUUCGUUGUGGUAGGUUGCAGUUCGGCUCAAUCUUGUCAUCGGGUGUUUUGUUUGCGAUAUUUGCUGUCAACGCAAUGAAGCCAAAUAUGAUUAAUUUAUGCCAGCUGGACCGCCACAUCAUUUAUGCCUAGUAAAUUGUCAGACAUUUCUGCCUGAGUAUCACGAAUCAAGAAAAAAAAUGAAAAAACGAAUUGUGUUCUAGGGCUCCUGUCGCUCCUUGAUGGCUCGAAGUCGAAGGAUAAGAUUUGGGUUUGUGUUUGGUAGAUUAGCUUCAGUUUCAUCAGGAGCAGCGCCAAAAAGAUUACAAGUAGCUCAUCCAAUAAUUCCAAUUUAUGCAUGGUCAAACGGGAUUUGCCGGUUACAUGUGGGCAGAAUAGCAUAUGUUAUAACUCUGAUAAUGGUCCAGGUUGUCUCUGCAAAUGCCCUCAAGGUUACCAGUUGCCCAGAUAUUUGCAUCAACACAAAUGGGAGUUUUAAUUUCUUGCCCAAUGGGAUAUAUCAGGGAUGGCAUAACAAGCCAGGGUUGCAAAAUUCCAGCUGAUCAAUCAAUAUGGCCAAAGGUUAUUGUUGAGUCACCACGGGAGAGGAUCAACAUGGAAGAUGCUCUGACUACACUAAAAAAAUAUCAAACACACGUUUCUUGCAAGUUGGGAAAAGCUAGAAACAUGAAGAUUGCAUUGCUUUGAGAGAUGGAACUAUUUGUAGCUCCUAUGCUUCAUGAAAUCAGAACUAUUUCUCAAAGGAAGGCCCGCACAGUAACCCAAAAGUGGUCCAAAGCAUGUUUGGUUGGUUAUGUUUUGUUUGAACAAUUGUAAAACAUUUCAAUAAAAAGGCUCAAAACUUGAAACACCAAAAUGGUGUUUUAAGUUGUUUCAGCAUUGUUUGGCCCACUCAUGCACUGUAGCAGAGGAAGCAUUUGAGCCAAACUUAUAACACUCUAUUACAGGUAUAAAGAGGACACUUUAAAACAUUUUAGGUCAUUUUGCACCCCAACUUUCUCUCUCCUCCAUCGAUGCUCUUUGUGGCGAUUCGACUAUAGUGCUUGGGUUCCUAAAAACUUCGAUCGAUUCAAGCUUUUUUUGCUUAAAACCGCCACCGAUCUGAAGCUCUUUGCACUUUUUUUCGAAGAAGAAGCCAGAUUCAUACGAGGUUGGGGUCACUGCUUGCUGCUAAAGCCCGUUUUGUUUCUAAAUUUUUGUUGGUAUCGAUGUUGAUGGUCACUGGAAAAUGAGGAAUUUAGGGUGGAGGAUACUCCUAGGGGUUGGUACUAUAUUGUCAGAGUAUAAAAAAAAAGGGAAUUCAUGUUGAUGAUGAUUGGAAUAUUCCAAGUAUUAUUUGGAUUAUGUUAUGUGUGUUUGGUGCUAUAAUGGGUCAUUGUUGCCGUUUGGAGUGGACUUCCAAUUGUGACUACGUUGCUGUUUGCAAAAUUUGGAACCUAUCGGACUAGUGCUUUCUUCAGUAAUGGUAGACUUAAAAGGGACUACUCUUAGGGCUUGGUUGUUUUUCAUGGUGUAAGAUUUUAGAAAGCACUUGGAAGUAUAGUAAGAAAUUUUUUUCCAAUUUUACCUUCGGUAAAGAAUACAAUUCAAGAGCUGUGAGGGAUGAAACAUCAUUAUGUAAAAAAUUUGGAUUGUUGUUUAUUAUAUAUGCAGGUUGUAUAUUGUGCUAUUAAAUGUAUUUCAAUGGAAUGGAUGGUUUAGU